CCUUGGCGAACACGAUAGGCAGGAUAUGACAGGUGUCCUCUUUCGAUUUCGUCGGGGACAUUGAACGCGUUCCGAAUGUCUUUUGUGAAGCGACCACUAUUUCGUGUCGAGUAGCCCGCGCGUGAUAGUGCGCUCGAGCGAAAUGUGGUUUCGCGGAAGCAAACGGCAUUCGGAAUUGCCUCGCCAGCUUUUGAUUAACCGUACUGUAGAACGUGCUGUUCACCUUACAGCGCGGUUUCAUUCCAGUUAUUGCUGCUUUUCCUGGUCGCUGUUUCUCAUGAUCCCGCUUAUUCACGGUGCUAUGCUUACCAUGCAGUUUUAAGGUUUACUUUCAGCCUUUUCUUCAAGUCCCGCCGACUUUCCAGGAGGAGUCCAUGGAGCACCGCACUUUAUUUUGGACAUGGGCCGGCGGAUGUCCCGUUCCUGAACGAGCUGUGCAUCGAAGGUUGUCCAGCCAGAGUCCACGGUGGAGAUGGCGUUGAACACCACCCGUCCUGUCGCCGUGUCGGCAGCACUUCCACAUUUAACCGCCGACACUCCUGUCAGUAAGAGGGACUUCAAUAAGCGCCAUAUGCUUUCCCGCGUCUGUCUUCCACUGCUACCCGUGACAAGGAGAUGGAGCUGGCUCCUGCAGAUUGGUUCCAAUGUAUACGUUCCUGAGGUUCCCUGGGCAUCACUCGCCACAUGGCCGAACUUACUGCCACCUUUGCACUGCUUCGCUGAUGACGUCAUCGGCGGAGACUGUGCAUUGCUGCUACUUAUGGAAUU
rnacentral:lncRNA from 1 species